GAUGAACGCUGGCGGCGUGCCUAAUACAUGCAAGUCGAGCGAACAGACGAGGAGCUUGCUCCUCUGACGUUAGCGGCGGACGGGUGAGUAACACGUGGAUAACCUACCUAUAAGACUGGGAUAACUUCGGGAAACCGGAGCUAAUACCGGAUAAUAUAUUGAACCGCAUGGUUCAAUAGUGAAAGACGGUUUUGCUGUCACUUAUAGAUGGAUCCGCGCCGCAUUAGCUAGUUGGUAAGGUAACGGCUUACCAAGGCAACGAUGCGUAGCCGACCUGAGCGGGUGAUCGGCCACACUGGAACUGAGACACGGUCCCGACUCCUACGGGAGGCAGCAGUAGGGAAUCUUCCGCAAUGGGCGAAAGCCUGACGGAGCAACGCCGCGUGAGUGAUGAAGGUCUUCGGAUCGUAAAACUCUGUUAUUAGGGAAGAACAAAUGUGUAAGUAACUAUGCACGUCUUGACGGUACCUAAUCAGAAAGCCACGGCUAACUACGUG
rnacentral:rRNA from 1 species